rnacentral:ribozyme from 1 species
CCUAAAUCUUUAAUGUGAAUAAAGAUUCGAGAUGUAAGGAGACAGAAUCUGUGCGCGCACUGUACACAGUUUUAAAGGAUGGAGAUAGAAUGCUUGAUAUUAAAAGCCUUGCUGUGGUAUAUUCUUUUGUUUAACAGAGGAAUUCUAAUUCUCAAGCCUUCGUGAUAUUUU